AAUUCCGUAAACCUUGAAUCACACCGUGGGGCUCCUACAAAGUGCCACUAGCGAUGCUGGAGGGGCUCCCAAGAAACAGAGAAAAGGCAUUAUUACGUCACAAGGAGAAGUGGAAUUGCUUGAUAUGUACGGUAGACCGAGGUCUGCAGAUGUGGUCACCUGUCAUUUCAAGAUAAAUGAAUCUAGUGUAAGGAUUAUUGUAAAAGAAGAAAAGGAAAUUCAUGAAGCCAUCACUGCAGCUAUGCCAGCAGCCUCCAGAUCAGGGAGUUAGAGAACCUUUAAGGUUCAUUACACAUGACACUCUGUGGAAAGGAUUGUCAAUGCAACGGAAGAGAACCCCGACAGAGAGAACAUCUGGAAAGUCGGGGAGGAUUACACCACUGAAGAUGCCGUCAUUGUUACAGGAAAAAUCAUGAAACUCAUCAAGCCCGAAACAAUAAAUUCCUGCCGAAGUAAACUCUGUCCACAUGUUGUGCAUGACUUCACAGGAUUUAUGACAGAGUCGAUCAAAGAAAUCAUGAAAAAGAUUGUGGAUAUAACAAAAAAGCCCGGGUGUGAAGGCUUUCAAAGUAUGGGUCUUGGAGAAAUUCAAAAGCUAACAGACACCACACCAGAGGAUUAGCAGAAGACAACCUGAUGGAGAUGGGCGCUUCUGAACCAGUCCCAGAUGAGGAGGAAGAUGUAGAGGAAGCAGUCAGCAAGCAAACUGACAGCAGACAGUCUGGCAGAGCGUUCUGAUGAUUCAACACUGAUUUUGACCUUUUACAAUAUGGACCUUUCUAUGAUACAGGUGCUCACACAGAAACUACAGCAAAUGGUGGAGGAAGGAUUGGUACCAUAUAAAGACAUUUUUAGAGAAAUGAAAAGGCAAAAAAGCCAGACAGAAAUUAUGAUGUAUUUCUGUAAAGUUACACUGAGUGUGCCUGCCCCUCCUGCCUCCCCUCUACCUUCUCCAUGUCUUCUGCCUCUGCCGCCCCCAGGACAGCAAGGCCAACCCCUACUCCCCCUCCACCUUCUCCUCCUCCCUCUCCUCUCCCCUUCAGUGUGAAAACAAUGAGACUGAAGACCUUUAUGAUGAUUCAUUUUCACUUACCGAAUAGUAAAUAAUCAUCAUGCCAUACAGUGAAUAGACUCAUCUGUGGCA